GCCAGCAGCCAUAUCACCCUGCAACUCACAGCUGGCAGCCCACUGUAGCUCAGCAGGUGUGAGCCUGGUCAGUACCUGGCUGGGAGACCUCCUGGGAAAAAUAAGGUUGCUGCUGGAA
rnacentral:rRNA from 1 species